GCCCUCAUAGCUCAGUGGCUAGAGCGGCAGUCUCGUAAGCUGCAGGUCGGGGGUUCAAAUCCCCCUGAGGGCU
rnacentral:tRNA from 1 species